GACGUAGGAGGCGAGCGUUGUCCGGAUUCAUUGGGCGUAAAGAGCACGCAGGCGGUUUGGCAAGUCGGAUGUGAAAACCCGGAGCUCAACUCCGGACCUGCAUCCGAAACUGCCCGACUAGAGGUAGGUAGGGGAGAUCGGAAUUCCUGGUGUAGCGGUGAAAUGCGCAGAUAUCAGGAGGAACACCGGUGGCGAAGGCGGAUCUCUGGGCCUUACCUGACGCUCAGGUGCGAAAGCGUGGGGAGCAAACAGGA
rnacentral:rRNA from 1 species